GGCUCCGUAGCUUGAAGAAAAGAAGCGCCCGUCUAUCUAAUAGGGAGUCGUUGGUUCGAUUCCCACCGGAGCUC
rnacentral:tRNA from 1 species